rnacentral:rRNA from 1 species
AGUGAACGCUGGCGGUAGGCCUAACACAUGCAAGUCGAACGGCAGCACAGUAAGAGCUUGCUCUUACGGGUGGCGAGUGGCGGACGGGUGAGGAAUACAUCGGAAUCUACUUUUUCGUGGGGGAUAACGUAGGGAAACUUACGCUAAUACCGCAUACGACCUACGGGUGAAAGCAGGGGAUCUUCGGACCUUGCGCGAAUGAAUGAGCCGAUGUCGGAUUAGCUAGUUGGCGGGGUAAAGGCCCACCAAGGCGACGAUCCGUAGCUGGUCUGAGAGGAUGAUCAGCCGCACUGGAACUGAGACACGGUCCAGACUCCUACGGGAGGCAGCAGUGGGGAAUAUUGGACAAUGGGCGCAAGCCUGAUCCAGCCAUACCGCGUGGGUGAAGAAGGCCUUCGGGUUGUAAAGCCCUUUUGUUGGGAAAGAAAAGCAGCAGGUUAAUACCCCGCUGUUCUGACGGUACCCAAAGAAUAAGCACCGGCUAACUUCGUG